UACGGGGGGGGCAAGCGUUGUUCGGAAUUACUGGGCGUAAAGGGCUCGUAGGCGGCCAACUAAGUCAGACGUGAAAUCCCUCGGCUUAACCGGGGAACUGCGUCUGAUACUGGAUGGCUUGAAUUCGGGAGAGGGAUGCAGAAUUCCAGGUGUAGCGGUGAAAUGCGUAGAUAUCUGGAGGAAUACCGGUGGCGAAGGCGGCAUCCUGGACCGACAUUGACGCUGAUGAGCGAAAGCUAGGGGAGCAAACGGG
rnacentral:rRNA from 1 species